rnacentral:rRNA from 1 species
CACGUAGGGGGCGAGCGUUGUCCGGAAUUACUGGGCGUAAAGGGCGCGUAGGCGGUAGUUUAAGUCAGAUGUGAAAACCUUGGGCUUAACCUGAGGAUGGCAUUUGAAACUGGAUUACUUGAGGGCAGGAGAGGAAAGCGGAAUUCCCAGUGUAGCGGUGAAAUGCGUAGAUAUUGGGAAGAACACCGGUGGCGAAGGCGGCUUUCUGGACUGAACCUGACGCUGAGGCGCGAAAGCCAGGGGAGCGAACGGGAUUAGAUACCCCGGUAGUCCUGGCCGUAAACGAUGGAUACUAGGUGUGGGAGGUAUCGACCCCUUCCGUGCCGCAGUUAACACAAUAAGUAUCCCGCCUGGGGAGUACGGCCGCAAGGCUGAAACUCAAAGGAAUUGACGGGGGCCCGCACAAGCGGUGGAGCAUGUGGUUUAAUUCGAUGCAACGCGAAGAACCUUACCAGGUCUUGACAUCCCUUCGGCCGGUGCAGAGAUGUACCCUCUCUUCGGAGCGAAGGAGACAGGUGGUGCAUGGCU